UACGGGGGGAGCAAGCGUUGUUCGGAUUUACUGGGCGUAAAGGGCGCGUAGGCGGCCAGCACAAGUCAGUUGUGAAAUCUCCGAGCUUAACUCGGAAAGGUCAACUGAUACUGUGCGGCUAGAGUGCGGAAGGGGCAACUGGAAUUCUUGGUGUAGCGGUGAAAUGCGUAGAUAUCAAGAGGAACACCUGCGGCGAAGGCGGGUUGCUGGGCCGAUACUGACGCUGAGGCGCGAAAGCCAGGGGAGCGAACGGG
rnacentral:rRNA from 1 species